rnacentral:rRNA from 1 species
UACGUAGGGUGCGAGCGUUAAUCGGAAUUACUGGGCGUAAAGCGUGCGCAGGCUGUUCUGUAAGUCAGAUGUGAAAUCCCCGAGCUCAACUUGGGAACUGCGUUUGAAACUACAGGACUAGAAUAUGUCAGAGGGGGGUAGAAUUCCACGUGUAGCAGUGAAAUGCGUAGAGAUGUGGAGGAAUACCAAUGGCGAAGGCAGCCCCCUGGGAUAAUAUUGACGCU